GAUGAACGCUGGCGGCGUGCUUAACACAUGCAAGUCGAACGGUGAAGGCGGAGCUUGCUCUGCUGGAUCAGUGGCGAACGGGUGAGUAACACGUGAGCAAUCUGCCCCUGACUCUGGGAUAAGCGCUGGAAACGGCGUCUAAUACUGGAUACGAGCUGCGAAGGCAUCUUCAGCAGCUGGAAAGAACUUCGGUCAGGGAUGAGCUCGCGGCCUAUCAGCUUGUUGGUGAGGUAACGGCUCACCAAGGCGUCGACGGGUAGCCGGCCUGAGAGGGUGACCGGCCACACUGGGACUGAGACACGGCCCAGACUCCUACGGGAGGCAGCAGUGGGAAAUAUUGCACAAUGGGCGAAAGCCUGAUGCAGCAACGCCGCGUGAGGGACGACGGCCUUCGGGUUGUAAACCUCUUUUAGCAGGGAAGAAGCGAAAGUGACGGUACCUGCAGAAAAAGCGCCGGCUAACUACGUG
rnacentral:rRNA from 1 species